rnacentral:rRNA from 1 species
AGAGUUUGAUCAUGGCUCAGAUUGAACGCUGGCGGCAUGCCUUACACAUGCAAGUCGAACGGCAGCGCGGGAGCAAUCCUGGCGGCGAGUGGCGAACGGGUGAGUAACAUAUCGGAACGUGCCCUGGAGUGGGGGAUAACUAGUCGAAAGACUAGCUAAUACCGCAUACGAUCUACGGAUGAAAGUGGGGGAUCGCAAGACCUCAUGCUCGUGGAGCGGCCGAUAUCUGAUUAGCUAGUUGGUAGGGUAAAAGCCUACCAAGGCAUCGAUCAGCAGCUGGUCUGAGAGGACGACCAGCCACACUGGGACUGAGACACGGCCCAGACUCCUACGGGAGGCAGCAGUGGGGAAUUUUGGACAAUGGGGGCAACCCUGAUCCAGCAAUGCCGCGUGAGUGAAGAAGGCCUUCGGGUUGUAAAGCUCUUUUGUCAUGGAAGAAACGGGACUGGGGUAAUACCUUGGUCUAAUG